GUACGCGAGCUGGGUUCAGAACGUCGUGAGACAGUUCGGUCCCUAUCCGUCGUGGGCGUAGGAAAUUUGAGAGGAGCUGUCCUUAGUACGAGAGGACCGGGAUGGACAUACCUCUGGUGUACCAGUUGUCGUGCCAACGGCAUAGCUGGGUAGCUAUGUGUGGACGGGAUAAGUGCUGAAAGCAUCUAAGCAUGAAGCCCCCCUCAAGAUGAGAUUUCCCAACUUCGGUUAUAAGAUCCCUCAAAGAUGAUGAGGUUAAUAGGUUCGAGGUGGAAGCAUGGUGACAUGUGGAGCUGACGAAUACUAAUCGAUCGAAGACUUAAUCAA
rnacentral:rRNA from 1 species